UCAAUGGAGAGGAAAAAAAAAAAAAAAGAGCGGAUAAUUAGAUACGUUUCUUUCGCAAGUAUUCUCGAAACCAAGUGUAAACGUAUAAACGAUGGAGAGGAGGAGGGAAAAAAUUCACUGUUCGAAAGAGACGAGUAUCUACUACUUCUCUGACUCGUAUUUAAACGAUUACGUACUCUUGGAAUAACCGUGAUGGCAAGUGUAAUUAGAAUGGGAAGGCGAAGUGCAAGGAAGGGGAAAAAUGGAAAGGAAAAAAAAAAAAAAAAAUAGAGAGAAAGUGCACCACCUUCGGUUAAAAUUCAUGCGAGGCGAUAAUUCGAGGCAACAGGUUGGCAGCAUUGAUUUUUCAACCGCAGCCGUCGAAGCUCGUUGGUUUCGGGGUCAUUCUCGCCUCUGACUCGAGGUGACAGCUGGUCCACAUUUCAACCCGAAUCGAGGACGUUCCAAUGAGCAGCAAAUUAUCGGCUUUCUCGGCGUUAAACGGUUACUGCGUAUAUAAUAAUCGUUGUGACGCAACCGAAUCACGAUUCUGGAAUGGCGGACGCGUGGGCAUCGGAGACGAUUGUCGCCCAUUAUGCCGUUAGUUCGUCUACGCAGUACGGCGGCACAACAUCGAGAGACAACAUCGAGAGAGGAGUCACAGAGAAAACUCACCAGAAACUCGCCGCUGCCGAGGCUCUGCUGCGAUCCGUCCGGCGUCACGGCAAGAUCGGCGACGAUCGACGUUGAGAAGCU